rnacentral:rRNA from 2 species
UAAAGCUACAAAGAGCUAAUGGGGAAUGCCUUGGUACUGACAGCCGACGAAGGACGUGUAAAGCUGCGAUAAGCCACGGGGAACUGCUAAAAGGUCUUGAUCCGUGGAAAUCCGAAUGGGGAAACCCUCCAGAGUUAAAACUUUGGAACCCGUAACUGAAUACAUAGGUUGCGCGGAGGAAAGCCUGUGAACUGAAACAUCUUAGUAACAGGACGAAGAGAAAAUAAACCAAUGAUUCCGAGAGUAGCGGCGAGCGAAAUUGGAAGAGCCUAAAUUGUGUGUACGUGAUAGCCUGCAAGCGUUGUGCACAUGAGGUUGUGGGACUUGCAUCAUAUUUUGCAGAAUAUGGAUUGAGUUAGAAAAUUAUUUAUUAGUUAAAGUCAACUGGGAAGUUGCGCCAUAGAGAGUGAUAGCCUCGUAAACGACAAUAAAUAAUCUCAAGUAAGUAUCCCGAGUAAGGCGGGGCACGUGAAACCCUGUCUGAAUCCACCGGGACCAUCCGGUAAGGCUAAAUACUAGUCAGUGACCGAUAGUGAACGAGUACAGUGAUGGAAAGGCGAAAAGAACAGUGAGAAGCUGAGUGAAAUAGACCCUGAAACCGUUAGCUUACAACCAGUCAGAGCACAAUUAAUUGUGUGAUGGCGUGCCUGUUGAAGAAUGAGCCGGCGAGUUAUUUUUUGUUGCGAGGUUAAGGAGAUUAUAUCCGGAGCCACAGGGAAACCGAGUCUGAAUAGGGCGUUAAGUAACAGGAAAUAGACCCGAACCUUGGUGAUCUAACCUUGACCAGGAUGAAGCGUGGGUAACACUACGUGGAGGUCCGAACCAACCGAUGUUGAAAAAUCGGUGGAUGAGUUGAGGUUAGGGGUGAAAUGCCAAUCGAACCAAGAGCUAGCUGGUUCUCCCCGAAAUGCGUUUAGGCACAGCGUUGGAUUUAUCUUGCAGGAGGUAGAGCACUGGUUUUGUGCGGGCGUCGAAAUGAUGUACCAAACAAUGUCAAACUCCGAAUACCUGUAAUGUCAUUAUCCAGCAGUGAGGCUAUGAGUGAUAAGAUCCAUGGCCAAGAGGGAAACAGCCCAGAACGCCAGUUAAGGUCCCUAAUAUAUGCUAAGUGGUUAAGGAGGUAGAGUUACUGAGACAACCAGGAGGUUGGCUUAGAAGCAGCCAUCCCUUGAAAGAGUGCGUAAUAGCUCACUGGUCAAGUGACUCCGCGCCGAAAAUACACCGGGACUAAAGCAUAUAACCGAAGCUGCGUCAUAUAGUUUACUAUAUGGGUAGGGGAGCGUACUGUAGUAAGACGAAGCUAGAGUGAAAACACUAGUGGAUGAGGCAGUAGUGAGAAUGUCGGCAUAAGUAGCGAAAACAUUGGUGAGAAUCCAAUGCACCGAAAACCUAAGGUUUCCCACGGCAGGCUCGUCCGCGUGGGGUUAGUCGGAUCCUAAGCUCAGGCCAAACGGCGUAGGCGAUGGACAAUAGGUUGAUAUUCCUAUACUAUCUGAUAAUCGUUAUCAGAAGCGGAGGGACGCAAGAGGAUAAGCACGCAGUCGAAUGGAAGAGACUGUAUAAGCGUGUAGCUAGGUUUGACAGGAAAAUCCGUCAAAUCGUUAAUGUGAGGCGUGAUGUGGAGAGUCUACGGACUCGAAGGUGUUGACUCCAAAUUGCCAAGAAAAUCUUCGCUCUCGAGAUUAUUGGGUAUCCGUACCGUAAACCGCCACAGGUAGGUUGGUAGAAAAUACUAAGGUGCGCGAGACAACUCUCGCUAAGGAACUCGGCAAAAUCACCUCGUAACUUCGGGAGAAGAGGUACCCUGGUAGCGUGAAGCGAUUUACUCGUGAAGCGUGAUAGGGUCGCAGUGAAUAGGCCCAAGCGACUGUUUACCAAAAACACAGGUCUCUGCUAAGUCGAUCAAGACGAUGUAUAGGGGCUGACGCCUGCCCGGUGUCGGAAGGUUACGCGGAAAUGUUAGAAGCAAUUCAAAGCAUCGAAGCUAAGCCCCGAUGAACGGCGGCCGUAACUAUAACGGUCCUAAGGUAGCGAAAUUCCUUGUCAGGUA